UACGUAGGUGGCAAGCGUUGUCCGGAUUUACUGGGCGUAAAGAGCGCGCAGGCGGUCGUUUAAGUCGAAUGUGAAAGCCCCCGGCUCAACUGGGGAGGGUCGUUCGAUACUGAUCGACUUGAAGGCAGGAGAGGGAAGUGGAAUUCCGGGUGUAGUGGUGAAAUGCGUAGAUAUCCGGAGGAACACCAGUGGCGAAGGCGACUUCCUGGCCUGUUCUUGACGCUGAGGCGCGAAAGCUGGGGGAGCAAACGGG
rnacentral:rRNA from 1 species